GACGUAGGGCGCAAGCGUUGUCCGGAAUUAUUGGGCGUAAAGAGCUCGUAGGCGGUCUGUCGCGUCGGCUGUGAAACCCUGAGGCUCAACCUCAGGCCUGCAGUCGAUACGGGCAGACUAGAGUGCGGUAGGGGAGACUGGAAUUCCUGGUGUAGCGGUGAAAUGCGCAGAUAUCAGGAGGAACACCGGUGGCGAAGGCGGGUCUCUGGGCAACAACUGACGCUGAGGAGCGAAAGCGUGGGGAGCGAACAGG
rnacentral:rRNA from 1 species